rnacentral:rRNA from 1 species
CAUAGGUUAAUGAGGCGAACCGGGGGAACUGAAACAUCUAAGUACCCCGAGGAAAAGAAAUCAACCGAGAUUCCCCCAGUAGCGGCGAGCGAACGGGGAGGAGCCCAGAGCCUGAAUCAGUGUGUGUGUUAGUGGAAGCGUCUGGAAAGGCGCGCGAUACAGGGUGACAGCCCCGUACACAAAAAUGCACAUGCUGUGAGCUCGAUGAGUAGGGCGGGACACGUGGUAUCCUGUCUGAAUAUGGGGGGACCAUCCUCCAAGGCUAAAUACUCCUGACUGACCGAUAGUGAACCAGUACCGUGAGGGAAAGGCGAAAAGAACCCCGGCGAGGGGAGUGAAAAAGAACCUGAAACCGUGUACGUACAAGCAGUGGGAGCACAGAGCAAUCUGUGUGACUGCGUACCUUUUGUAUAAUGGGUCAGCGACUUAUAUUCUGUAGCAAGGUUAACCGAAUAGGGGAGCCGAAGGGAAACCGAGUCUUAACUGGGCGUUAAGUUGCAGGGUAUAGACCCGAAACCCGGUGAUCUAGCCAUGGGCAGGUUGAAGGUUGGGUAACACUAACUGGAGGACCGAACCGACUAAUGUUGAAAAAUUAGCGGAUGACUUGUGGCUGGGGGUGAAAGGCCAAUCAAACCGGGAGAUAGCUGGUUCUCCCCGAAAGCUAUUUAGGUAGCGCCUCGUGAAUUCAUCUCCGGGGGUAGAGCACUGUUUCGGCAAGGGGGUCAUCCCGACUUACCAACCCGAUGCAAACUGCGAAUACCGGAGAAUGUUAUCACGGGAGACACACGGCGGGUGCUAACGUCCGUCGUGAAGAGGGAAACAACCCAGACCGCCAGCUAAGGUCCCAAAGUCAUGGUUAAGUGGGAAACGAUGUGGGAAGGCCCAGACAGCCAGGAUGUUGGCUUAGAAGCAGCCAUCAUUUAAAGAAAGCGUAAUAGCUCACUGGUCGAGUCGGCCUGCGCGGAAGAUGUAACGGGGCUAAACCAUGCACCGAAGCUGCGGCAGCGACGCUUAUGCGUUGUUGGGUA